rnacentral:rRNA from 1 species
CCCCUAGAUGUUCUGGGCCGCACGCGCGCUACACUGAACAGUUCAACAAGUCUUAACCUUGGCCGAUAGGUCUGGGUAAUCUUUGAACGCUGUUCGUGAUUGGGAUAGACCUUUGCAAUUAUGGGUCUUCAACGAGGAAUUCCUAGUAAACGCAAGUCAUCAGCUUGCAUUGAUUACGUCCCUGCCCUUUGUACACACCGCCCGUCGCACCUACCGAUUGAACGGUCCGGUGAAAUCUCGGGACGGCGGCUUGGUCGCUUGCGUCCGACUGCUGAAACUUGAUUAAACCAUAUCAUUUAGAGGAAGGUGAANUCGUANCA